AACGAACGCUGGCGGCAUGCCUAACACAUGCAAGUCGAACGAAGCCUUCGGGCUUAGUGGCGCACGGGUGCGUAACGCUUGGGAAUCUGCCCUUGGGUUCGUAAUAACAGUUAGAAAUGACUGCUAAUACCGGAUGAUGUCUUCGGCCCAAAGAUUUAUCGCCCAAGGAUGUGCCCGCGUAGGAUUAGGUAGUUGGUGGGGUACUGGCCCACCAAGCCGACGAUCCUUAGCUGGUCUGAGAGGAUGAUCAGCCACACUGGGACUGAGACACGUCCCAGCAUCCUGAGGGAGGAAGCAGGUGGGAAUAUGGGACAAUGGGCGAAAGUAGGAUCCAGCAAUGCCGCGUGAGUGAUGAAGGUCUGAGGGUUGUAAAGCUCUUGUACCAGGGAUGAUAAUGACAGUAACUGGAGAAUAAGCUCCGGCUAACUCCGUGCCAGCCGCCGCCGUAAUAC
rnacentral:rRNA from 1 species